CAGUCGAACGAUGACGACCGUGCUUGCACGGUCUGAUUAGUGGCGAACGGGUGAGUAACACGUGAGUAACCUGCCCCUCACUUCGGGAUAACCUCGGGAAAUCGUGGCUAAUACCGGAUACGAGCACUCAUCGCAUGGUGGGUGUUGGAAAGAUUUAUCGGUGGGGGAUGGACUCGCGGCCUAUCAGUUUGUUGGUGAGGUGAUGGCUCACCAAGACGAUGACGGGUAGCCGGCCUGAGAGGGCGACCGGCCACACUGGGACUGAGACACGGCCCAGACUCCUACGGGAGGCAGCAGUGGGGAAUAUUGCACAAUGGGCGAAAGCCUGAUGCAGCGACGCCGCGUGGGGGAUGACGGCCUUCGGGUUGUAAACCCCUUUCAGUAGGGAAGAAGCGAGAGUGACGGUACCUGCAGAAGAAGCGCCGGCUAACUACGUGCCAGCAGCCGCGGUAAUACGUAGGGCGCAAGCGUUGUCCGGAAUUAUUGGGCGUAAAGAGCUUGUAGGUGGCUUGUCGCGUCUGCCGUGAAAACCCGAGGCUCAACCUCGGGCGUGCGGUGGGUACGGGCAGGCUAGAGUGUGGUAGGGGAGACUGGAACUCCUGGUGUAGCGGUGAAAUGCGCAGAUAUCAGGAAGAACACCGAUGGCGAAGGCAGGUCUCUGGGCCAUUACUGACACUGAGAAGCGAAAGCAUGGGUAGCGAACAGGAUUAGAUACCCUGGUAGUCCAUGCCGUAAACGUUGGGCACUAGGUGUGGGGGACAUUCCACGUUUUCCGCGCCGUAGCUCACGCAUUAAGUGCCCCGCCUGGGGAGUACGGCCGCAAGGCUAAAACUCAAAGGAAUUGACGGGGGCCCGCACAAGCGGCGGA
rnacentral:rRNA from 1 species